rnacentral:lncRNA from 1 species
AUGUGGGAGUCCUCGUCUGAAGGCUGUGCUGAUGCCAUUGAGCUCUGGAGGCCUGUGCAGAAAGCAAUAUGUGCAAGAAUAUCCAUUGAAGGAGACCGUUGGAGCACUAACAAUGUUUGUGUAAGUGGUUUACUGUUCCUACUCUCCUUGGCCUCCAGGGGUCCUUGCCUGAACACCAGACUACCCACCCACCCAACAGAGAGCCAGGGGCAUGUGUUCUGUGUUAGGCAGAUAUUUUUGCUUUGGUACUUGCACAUUUACAGUUACCUCAUUUUUUUCCAUGUUUGUAUUGGGGGUGGGGGUGGGGGUGGGAGGGGAAGAAAACAACUAAUAUAUAUUAUAUAUAGGAAAUGGUUCUUAUUAAUGUUAUAAUUUUUUCAUUCCAUUGGAAUCAUAUUGUUUGUAGCAUUUAACAUAACUAGUUAGUGUAUGAUAUAUACAUCUGUAUACUGUUUGAAAUUUUUAAGAUUUGUACUUUUUUUAAAUGAAAGUUGCUAGUUAUGCUUUACCAAGUAGUGCAAUCAUAUUUUUUUUAAUUGUUGUGGCUGAUUUGAGAGGGUUGUUCACUAAUAAAUGUAUGAUGUAUACCA